rnacentral:misc_RNA from 1 species
GAUGAAGAACGCAGCGAAAUGCGAUAAGUAAUGUGAAUUGCAGAAUUCAGUGAAUCAUCGAAUCUUUGAACGCACCUUGCACUCCUUGGUAUUCCGAGGAGUACGCCUGUUCGAGUGUUAUGAAGCUCUCAAAACGCAAUUGGCUUAAAACCUGAUUGUUGCUUUGGAUUUGAACUUUGCCGUGUUAUAACGGCUGGUUUUAAAAGUAUUAGCUGGUACUAGAACGAAUUGGUUCUACUCAACGUGAUAAUUAUCUGAUCGUUGAGGACAUUCCUUUCACGAGGAAUGGCCAUAGUAAAUUCAAUGGACUGCUUCUAAUCUGGCUUUAAUUCUUUAUUGGAUUAACCACUUUUCAAAUCUGACCUCGAAUCAGGUGGGACUACCCGCUGAACUUAAGCAUAUCAAUAAGCGGAGGA